GACGAACGCUGGCGGCGUGCUUAACACAUGCGAGUCGAGCGGAAAGGCCCUUCGGGGUACUCGAGCGGCGAACGGGUGAGUAACACGUGAGUAAUCUGCCCUUGGCUUUGGGAUAACUACCGGAAACGGUGGCUAAUACCGGAUACGACAACCGUCUGCAUGGGCUGGUUGUGGAAAGUUUUUUCGGCCAGGGAUGUGCUCGCGGCCUAUCAGCUUGUUGGUGGGGUAAUGGCCUACCAAGGCUUCGACGGGUAGCCGGCCUGAGAGGGUGACCGGCCACACUGGGACUGAGACACGGCCCAGACUCCUACGGGAGGCAGCAGUGGGGAAUAUUGGACAAUGGGCGGAAGCCUGAUCCAGCAACGCCGCGUGAGGGAUGACGGCCUUCGGGUUGUAAACCUCUUUCAGUACCGACGAAGCGCCGAUGAUGGUGGUGACGGUAGGUACAGAAGAAGCACCGGCCAACUACGUG
rnacentral:rRNA from 1 species